GGUAAUAUUAGCUCAGUGGUGUAAGUACAUGCCUGGAAAGCGUGAGGUCCUGAGUUUGAAUCCCAGUGCCA
rnacentral:tRNA from 1 species